ensembl:lncRNA
GGUAGAGCCUAUUAAUGAACUGGACAACCUGUUUGUUAUUGAGGUAGAGCCUAUUAAUGAACUGGACAACCUGUUUGGUAUUGAGGUAGAGCCUAUUAAUGAACUGGACAACCUGUUUGUUAUUGAGGUAGAGCAUAUUAAUGAACUGGACAACAUGUUUUAUUGAGAGUUGCAAAGAAAAGCCAUAUCUCAGACUGGCCAAUAAAAAGAAAAGAUUAAGACGGGCAAAAGAACACAGACACUGGACAGAGGAACUCUGCCUAGAAGGCCAGCAUCCCGGAGUCGCCUCUUCACUGUUGAUGUUGAGACUGGACAGAGGAACUCUGCCUAGAAGGCCAGCAUCCCAGAGUCGCCUCUUCACUGUUGACGUUGAGACUGGACAGAGGAACUCUGCCUAGAAGGCCAGCAUCCCGGAGUCGCCUCCUCACUGUUGACGUUGAGACUGGACAGAGGAACUCUGCCUAGAAGGCCAGCAUCCCGGAGUCGCCUCCUCACUGUUGAUGUUGAGACUGGACAGAGGAACUCUGCC